AGUGAACGCUGGCGGCAGGCCUAAUACAUGCAAGUCGAACGGCAGCACAGCAGAGCUUGCUCUGUGGGUGGCGAGUGGCGGACGGGUGAGGAAUACGUGGGAAUCUGCCCAGUCGUGGGGGAUAACGUAGGGAAACUUACGCUAAUACCGCAUGCGCCCUUCGGGGGAAAGCCGGGGACCUUCGGGCCUGGCGCGAUUGGAUGAGCCCACGUCGGAUUAGCUAGUUGGCGGGGUAAAGGCCCACCAAGGCGACGAUCCGUAGCUGGUCUGAGAGGAGGAUCCGCCACACAGGAACUGAGCCACGGUCCAGACUCCAACGGGAGGCAGCAGUAGGGAAUAUUGGACAAUGGGCGCAAGCCUGAUCCAGCCAUGCCGCGUGAGUGAAGAAGGCCCUCGGGUUGUAAAGCUCUUUUGUCCGGAAAGAAAAGCGCCGGGUUAAUACCCUGGUGUCCUGACGGUACCGGAAGAAUAAGCACCGGCUAACUCCGUGCCAGCAGCCGCGGUAAUAC
rnacentral:rRNA from 1 species